UUAUUGGGCGUAAGAGCUCGUAGGCGGUUUGUCGCGUCUGCCGUGAAAGUCCGGGGCUCAACUCCGGAUCUGCGGUGGGUACGGGCAGACUAGAGUGAUGUAGGGGAGACUGGAAUUCCUGGUGUAGCGGUGAAAUGCGCAGAUAUCAGGAGGAACACCGAUGGCGAAGGCAGGUCUCUGGGCAUUAACUGACGCUGAGGAGCGAAAGCAUGGGGAGCGAACAGGAUUAGAUACCCUGGUAGUCCAUGCCGUAAACGUUGGGCACUAGGUGUGGGGGACAUUCCACGUUUUCCGCGCCGUAGCUAACGCAUUAAGUGCCCCGCCUGGGGAGUACGGCCGCAAGGCUAAAACUCAAAGGAAUUGACGGGGGCCCGCACAAGCGGCGGAGCAUGCGGAUUAAUUCGAUGCAACGCGAAGAACCUUACCAAGGCUUGACAUGGACCGGACCGCCGCAGAAAUGUGGUUUCCCCUUUGGGGCUGGUUUACAGGUGGUGCAUGGUUGUCGUCAGCUCGUGUCGUGAGAUGUUGGGUUAAGUCCCGCAACGAGCGCAACCCUCGUUCUAUGUUGCCAGCACGUGAUGGUGGGGACUCAUAGGAGACUGCCGGGGUCAACUCGGAGGAAGGUGGGGACGACGUCAAAUCAUCAUGCCCCUUAUGUCUUGGGCUUCACGCAUGCUACAAUGGCCGGUACAAAGGGUUGCGAUACUGUGAGGUGGAGCUAAUCCCAAAAAGCCGGUCUCAGUUCGGAUUGGGGUCUGCAACUCGACCCCAUGAAGUCGGAGUCGCUAGUAAUCGCAGAUCAGCAACGCUGCGGUGAAUACGUUCCCGGGCCUUGUACACACCGCCCGUCAAGUCACGAAAGUUGGUAACACCCGAAGCCGGUGGCCUAACCCCUUGUGGGAGGGAGCCGUCGAAGUGGGACU
rnacentral:rRNA from 1 species